AUCAACUUUCGAUGGUAGGAUAGAGGCCUACCAUGGUGGUAACGGGUAACGGGGUGUUAGGGCACGACACCGGAGAGGGAGCCUGAGAAACGGCUACCACAUCCAAGGAUGGCAGCAGGCGCGCAAAUUACCCAAUCCCGACACGGGGAGGUAGUGACAAUAAAUAACAAUACGGGGUUCUUUCGGAUUUCGUAAUUGGAAUGAGUACAAUUUAAAUCUCUUAACGAGGAACAAUUGGAGGGCAAGUCUGGUGCCAGCAGCCGCGGUAAUUCCAGCUCCAAUAGCGUAUAUUAAAGUUGUUGCAGUUAAAAAGCUCGUAGUUGAAUUUCGGGGUCAGCAAGUUGGUCGUGCCACUGGUAUGCACUGGCUUUGCUGAUUCCUCCUUCUUGUAGAACCGUAAUGCCAUUUAGUUGGUGUUGCGGGGAAACAGGACUGUUACUUUGAAAAAAUUAGAGUGUUUAAAGCAGGCUAUGGCUUGAAUACAUUAGCAUGGAAUAAUGAAAUAGGACGUUUGAUCCUAUUUUGUUGGUUUCUAGGAUUGACGUAAUGAUUAAUAGGGAUAGUUGGGGGCAUUAGUAUUCAAUUGUCAGAGGUGAAAUUCUUGGAUUUAUUGAAGACUAACUACUGCGAAAGCAUUUGCCAAGGAUGUUUUCAUUAAUCAAGAACGAAAGUUAGGGGAUCGAAGACGAUCAGAUACCGUCGUAGUCUUAACCAUAAACUAUGCCGACUAGGGAUCGGAUGAUGUUAAUUUUAUAAUGACUCAUUCGGCGCCUUACGGGAAACCAAAGUGUUUGGGUUC
rnacentral:rRNA from 1 species